rnacentral:rRNA from 1 species
AUACGGAGGGGACUAGCGUUGUUCGGAAUUACAGGGCGUAAAGAGUACGUAGGCGGUCUAUCAAGUUGGGUGUGAAAGCCCGGGGCUCAACCCCGGAACUGCACUCAAAACUGAUAAACUAGAGAUCGGAAGAGGUAAGUGGAAUUCCCAGUGUAGAGGUGAAAUUCGUAGAUAUUGGGAAGAACACCAGUGGCGAAGGCGGCUUACUGGUCCGAGACUGACGCUGAGGUACGAAAGCGUGGGGAGCAAACAGGAUUAGAUACCAUAGUAGUCC